rnacentral:rRNA from 1 species
AACGAACGCUGGCGGCAGGCUUAACACAUGCAAGUCGAACGCACCGGUCGGGGUGAUUGGCAGACGGGGGAGUAACGCGUGGGAAGCUACCCUUCUCUACGGGAUAGCUCCGGGAAACGGGAAUUAAUACCGUAUACGUCCUGACGGGGAAAGAUUUCUCGGGGAAGGAUGAGCCCGCGUUGGAUUAGCUAGUUGGGGAGGUAAAGGCCUACCAAGGCGACGAUCCAUAGCUGGUCUAAGAGGAUGAUCAGACACAUUGGGACUGAGACACGGCCCAAACUCCUACGGGAGGCAGCAGUGGGGAAUAUUGGACAAUGGGCGCAAGCCUGAUCCAGCCAUGCCGCGUGAGUGCUGAAGGCCCUAGGGAUGUAAAGCUCUUUCAGUGGGGACGAUAAUGACGGUACCCACAGAAGAAGCCCCGGCUAACUUCGUG